UACGGGGGGAGCAAGCGUUGUUCGGAAUCACUGGGCUUAAAGGGCGCGUAGGCGGGUUCCCAAGUCGGUGGUGAAAUCUUUCGGCCCAACCGGAAAACAGCCGCCGAUACUGGGAGUCUUGAGGGAGGUAGGGGUCGAUGGAACUUCCGGUGGAGCGGUGAAAUGCGUAGAUAUCGGAAGGAACGCCGGUGGCGAAAGCGAUCGACUGGACCUUUUCUGACGCUGAGGCGCGAAAGCCAGGGGAGCAAACGGG
rnacentral:rRNA from 1 species